UACGUAGGGGGCAAGCGUUAUCCGGAAUUACUGGGUGUAAAGGGUGAGUAGGCGGCAUGGUAAGCCAGGUGUGAAAGCCUUGGGCUUAACCCGAGGAUUGCAUUUGGAACUAUCAAGCUAGAGUACAGGAGAGGAAAGCGGAAUUCCUAGUGUAGCGGUGAAAUGCGUAGAUAUUAGGAAGAACACCAGUGGCGAAGGCGGCUUUCUGGACUGAAACUGACGCUGAGGCACGAAAGCGUGGGGAGCAAACAGG
rnacentral:rRNA from 1 species